rnacentral:rRNA from 1 species
UACGAAGGGGACUAGCGUUGUUCGGAAUUACUGGGCGUAAAGCGCACGUAGGCGGAUUUGUAAGUCAGGGGUGAAAUCCCGGGGCUCAACCUCGGAACUGCCUUUGAUACUGCAAAUCUCGAGUCCGAUAGAGGUGGGUGGAAUUCCUAGUGUAGAGGUGAAAUUCGUAGAUAUUAGGAAGAACACCGGUGGCGAAGGCGGCCCACUGGAUCGGUACUGACGCUGAGGUGCGAAAGCUAGGGGAGCAAACGGG